rnacentral:rRNA from 1 species
UCGGACUGUAGUCUGCAACCCGACUACACGAAGCUGGAAUCGCUAGUAAUCGCGAAUCAGAAUGUCGCGGUGAAUACGUUCCCGGGUCUUGUACACACCGCCCGUCACACCAUGGGAGUCGGGAAUGCCCGAAGUCUGUAGUCUAACCGCAAGGAGGACGCAGUCGAAGGUGGGAUUGAUGACUGGGGUGAAGUCGUAACAAGGUAUC